GACCUGAUUUCGGUCCUUGAACCCUCAUAUGUUUUGCCGACGAGAAAUACCAUCAAGAAAAUGGUGGCCGACAAAUAUAAGGAAGAACGGGAAAAAGUGAAAAUGGAAGUACAGCAAGCUGUGGCAAUUCAAAUCACUUGGAUUCCGCAGUUCCUCCAGGUACACGGAGGCCAUAUCCAGACUGCGGUCUGAGUGUAUGCGUGUCAUCGGGUGCACAAUCGACGCCCAGCCUGGACCAUCAUCGCAGCCCUCUGCAACUACAUCAGGCAUGUUACUCAUCAUUAUUAGUUUGUCAUUGGAAACUGUUCUAUAUGCCAAUUUGUUUGGUUUUGUUUUUUAGGUGGCCUGUGGAGUCAUCUGGAUGAUGAGGUGGGGAGACUGGGAAGAGGUGAUGCAACAGCAGAUGCAAUAUCUGAGGUCCAGCGAUACCUGGCACAGGGGAAUAUUGCACGUGACAGGGUCCCGCUGUUGUACUGGAAGGACCAACACCCUUCUUUCCCAAACCUCUCCCACCUCAAAAAGGAGUUCCUUUGUAUGCCAGCC